rnacentral:rRNA from 1 species
UCAACAUGGAGAGUUUGAUCCUGGCUCAGGAUGAACGCUGGCGGCGUGCUUAACACAUGCAAGUCGAACGAAGCCCUCGGGCUUAGUGGCGGACGGGUGAGUAACGCGUGAGAAUCUACCUUCAGGAUGGGGACAACCGUUGGAAACGACGGCUAAUCCCCAAUAGGCCGAGAGGUGAAACAGGUUUCUGCCUGAAGAGGAGCUCGCGUCCGAUUAGUUAGUUGGUGGGGUAAAAGCGUACCAAGGCAGCGAUCGGUAGCUGGUCUGAGAGGAUGAGCAGCCACACUGGGACUGAGACACGGCCCAGACUCCUACGGGAGGCAGCAGUGGGGAAUUUUCCGCAAUGGGCGAAAGCCUGACGGAGCAACGCCGCGUGUGGGAAGAAGGCUCUUGGGCUGUCAACCACUUUUCUCAGGGAAGAAGUCCUGACGGUACCUGAGGAAUCAGCCUCGGCUAACUCCGUGCCAGCAGCCGCGGUAAUACGGAGGAGGCAAGCGUUAUCCGGAAUUAUUGGGCGUAAAGCGUCCGCAGGGGGCGCAUCAAGUCUGCUGUUAAAGGUCGGAGCUCAACUCCGGUAGAGCAGUGGAAACUGGUGCGCUAGAGGGCGACAGGGGUAGAGGGAAUUCCCAGUGUAGCGGUGAAAUGCGUAGAGAUUGGGAAGAACACCGGUGGCGAAAGCGCUCUACUGGGUCGCACCUGACCCUCAGGGACGAAAGCUAAGGUAGCGAAAGGGAUUAGAUACCCCUGUAGUCUUAGCCGUAAACGAUGGAUACUAGGCGUGGUUUGUAUCGACCCAAGCCGUGCCGAAGCUAACGCGUUAAGUAUCCCGCCUGGGGAGUACGCACGCAAGUGUGAAACUCAAAGGAAUUGACGGGGGCCCGCACAAGCGGUGGAGGAUGUGGUUUAAUUCGAUGCAACGCGAAGAACCUUACCAGGGCUUGACAUCCCGCGAAGUUUGGGGAAACUCAGACGUGCCUACGGGAACGCGGAGACAGGUGGUGCAUGGCUGUCGUCAGCUCGUGUCGUGAGAUGUUGGGUUAAGUCCCGCAACGAGCGCAACCCUCGUCCUUAGUUGCCAGCAUUAGGUUGGGCACUCUAGGGAGACUGCCGGUGACAAACCGGAGGAAGGUGAGGAUGACGUCAAGUCAGCAUGCCCCUUAUGCUCUGGGCAACACACGUCCUACAAUGGUCGGGACAAAGGGGAGCAAGCUCGCGAGAGUAAGCGAAUCCCAGCAAACUCGGCCUCAGUUCAGAUAGCAGGCUGCAACUCGCCUGCUUGAAGGAGGAAUCGCUAGUAAUCGCAGGUCAGAAUACUGCGGUGAAUUCGUUCCCGGGCCUUGUACACACCGCCCGUCACACCAUGGAAGCUGGCCAAGCCCGAAGUCGUUACCCUAACCGUUUGGAGGGGGGCGCCGAAGGCUGGGCUGGUGACUGGGGUGAAGUCGUAACAAGGUAGCCGUACCGGAAGGUGUGGCUGGAUCACCUCCUUAAU